AGGGUUUGAUCAUGGCUCAGAACGUACGCUGGCGGCACGCCUAACACAUGCAAGUCGAACGAAGUAGCAAUACUUAGUGGCAGACGGGUGAGUAACAUGUAGGUAUCUGCCCUUUGGCCUGGAAUAACACGAGGAAACUUGUGCUAAUACCGGAUAAGUCUUUACGGAGAAAGCUUUAUGCACCAUUGGAUGAGCCUGCACUUGAUUAGUUUGUUGGUAGGGUAAUGGCCUACCAAGACUGUGAUCAAUAGCUGAUUUGAGAGGAUGAUCAGCCACAUUGGGACUGAGACACGGCCCAAACUCCUACGGGAGGCAGCAGUGGGGAAUCUUGCACAAUGGAGGAAACUCUGAUGCAGCGAUGCCGCGUGAGUGAAGAAGGCCCUUGGGUUGUAAAGCUCUUUCGUCGGGGAAGAAAAUGACUGUACCCGAAUAAGAAGGUCCGGCUAACUUCGUGCCAGCAGCCACGGUAAUACGAAGGGACCUAGCGUAGUUCGGAAUUACUGGGCUUAAAGAGUUCGUAGGUGGUUGAAAAAGUUGGUGGUGAAAUCCCAGAGCUUAACUCUGGAACUGCCAUCAAAACUUUUCAGCUAGAGUUUGAUAGAGGAAAGCAGAAUUUCUAGUGUAGAGGUGGAAUUCGUAGAUAUUAGAAAGAAUACCAAUUGCGAAGGCAGCUUUCUGGAUCAUUUCUGACACUGAGGAACGAAAGCAUGGGUAGCGAAGAGGAUUAGAUACCCUCGUAGUCCAUGCCGUAAGCGAUGUGUGUUAGACGUUGGAAAUUUAUUUUCAGUGUCGCAGGGAAACCGAUAAACACACCGCCAGGGGAGUACGACCGCAAGGUUAAAACUCAAAUGAAUUGACGGGGACCCGCACAAGUAGUGGAGCAUGUGGUUUAAUUCGAAGAUACGCGCAGAACCUUACCAACACUUGACAUGUUCGUCGCGACUCUAAGAGAUUAGAGUUUUCGGUUCGGCCGGACGAAACACAGGUGCUGCAUGGCUGUCGUCAGCUCGUGUCGUGAGAUGUUGGGUUAAGUCCCGCAACGAGCGCAACCCUCACUUUUAGUUGCCAUCAUUAAGUUGGGCACUCUGAAAGAACUGCCAGUGAUAAGCUGGAGGAAGGUGGGGAUGACGUUAAGUCCUCAUGGCCCUUACGUGUUGGGCUACACACGUGCUACAAUGGUAUCUACAACAGGAAGCAAAACUGCGAAGUUAAGCAAAUCCCUAAAAGAUACCUCAGUUCGGAUUGCACUCUGCAACUCGAGUGCAUGAAGCUGGAAUUACUAGUAAUCGUGGAUCAGCGUGCCACGGUGAAUGCGUUCCCGGGUCUUGUACACACCGCCCGUCACACCAUGGGAGUUGGUUCUACCUUAAGGCAAGGUUUCAAACCCUUGACCACGGUAUAGUCAGCGACUGGGGUGAAGUCGUAACAAGGUAGCCA
rnacentral:rRNA from 1 species